AAAGUUUAUUAUAAGGAUCUGGACAGAUUAUGAAAUGGAUGUUUCUCUCAGUCCUGAGAAAGAGGGAGUCCCUGAAGAAGUCCUUCAACAAACUCAGACUCAUCAGCUUUUAGUAGGAGAUGAUCUUUACAGGUGCAGAACUUCCCAAGAGUUUAACUGGAUCUGAUGGAAACAGUGGUCAAUAGCAGGUGAUGAGCUGUUAGACAGAGUGACCCACCAUGGACUCUGACUUCAAAGAGAUGUGA